GUGGGGAAUUUUGGACAAUGGGCGCAAGCCUGAUCCAGCCAUGCCGCGUGCGGGAAGAAGGCCUUCGGGUUGUAAACCGCUUUUGUCAGGGAAGAAAAGGUUCUGGCUAAUACCCGGGACUCAUGACGGUACCUGAAGAAUAAGCACCGGCUAACUACGUGCCAGCAGCCGCGGUAAUACGUAGGGUGCAAGCGUUAAUCGGAAUUACUGGGCGUAAAGCGUGCGCAGGCGGUUAUGCAAGACAGAGGUGAAAUCCCCGGGCUCAACCUGGGAACUGCCUUUGUGACUGCAUGGCUAGAGUACGGUAGAGGGGGAUGGAAUUCCGCGUGUAGCAGUGAAAUGCGUAGAUAUGCGGAGGAACACCGAUGGCGAAGGCAAUCCCCUGGACCUGUACUGACGCUCAUGCACGAAAGCGUGGGGAGCAAACAGGA
rnacentral:rRNA from 1 species